GGAGCCGCUGGUCUGAUGGGGAGGCACAGAUCCUGUUCUCAGGGGCCUUCCCUCAGUGUGAGCGAGGAGCUCUGGAAAUGGGACACAGGACAGAUGUCUCAAUUUACUCCUCUCUCCUCCUCCCCAAACCCCACCUCUUAAAGGCACCCAUUUGUAGAAGAACAUACUCAGUCUCACUAGGGAGAAAGUGUCUCCUCUCCUCACCUUCUUAGAGAUGCAAAGCCUGCAGAGAUCACAUUACUCGAUCCUGGCAAGCUACAAGGCACAGUGGACCUGGGAUUCAGGAAGAUUUAACAUCAAGUCCCAGCUGGAUUAUAUGACUGUGGAAAUGGGUCCAACUAGAUGACCUCUGAGGUUCUUCCCAGCUCUAGACCGAUGAUCCUGUGGCCAGACCUCACUCCAGCAUCCUCCUCCAGAUGGUGCCACCGUGCUAGAUGAUGACUCCCAGGAACAAAAGAAUUUGGGGAACCUCUAUACCAUUUGGGGAGUCCAGGGGCAGGGAAAGAUGAUUGACAUCACUAGAGCUACAAAGGAAAUGGGAGUGUACUACACUGAUGGGAUACUAUCAAGCUUGGGAGAGGAAUUAUAGCUAGAGGCUAGGUGUAAGGGAAGGGGCUGCUUAUAGUGGAUGCUAAAGGAUGGUUCCUGCCCAGGAGUGUAUCCUCUUGGGAAAGGGUCUGAUCCAAUAGGGGAGACUCCCUAUGAUAAAGAGGGUCCUUAGCAUCUGCUUAUCUCACCCAGCUAGGAUUGUCAUUCCCCUGAAGGUCCCCCACUCAGUCUGAAACUGCCAGUCUGGGAUUCCCUUCAGGGUGGAUUCUCAUGGGAACAGGGAACAAAGACAAGCUUUGGGGUCUCCAACCUAUAAGCUAGUCCUGAAACUUGGGGUUCAUCAGAUCCCACUAGGCCACAAGUUUGGGGUUCCUAGAUUCCAUGUUGAGAGAAGGCAGGUCCUAAUCAAGAGGGACUCCAGUGACAGGUGAUCCAGGGGUCCUGUGAGGAUAUUGGGGUGGUUGCCCUUCUCAGUGUGGGUAGGCAGACCCCCUGAUCCCACAAUGUUGGUGCUCUGGGACAAUGAGCCAUUCACUCUAAUUAUAGCUCUGAAAACAAGGUUAAUUCUUCUUCUAAGGAAGGAUAAAAGCCCAUUCACCUACUCCAGACUCAGGGGACCAGGGUUCAAAUCCCACCCAUUACAAAAUGUGAGCCUUUGGGCUUAGCCACUUCUCCGGUAAAAUGAGGGGGUUGGACUAGCCAGGCUUUGAUGUCUACUGAGCACUAAGAGCUAAUAAUUCAGUGGAUUUUGACAAAGGAGUGCCCCUACCCUUGGAACUCUCUUCUGUUAAAAGUUUGAAUGCUUUCAGGACUGGAUUACCACUUCAGUGUGUGGAAUUGGGGAGGGACUCUGGGGAAGACCUAGACCUCCUACAAGCUUAAGAGAGCUGAUUGUUAAAUUUUCAGUGUGAUCAUUUACACCUGAGAAAUUGGCAAAUGAGAUAAAUCAGGGCUUGAUUUCUUAGUUGGUUGUCUAGACUUUAAGGCAGUCUUGGAAAAAACGUUGUUAAUGAGGACUUAAAUUAAAACUGUAUAAUGAGCACUUUUUUUCUCUAGCAAGCCAGUUGUGAAAUAUUUACUAGAACCUCCUUGGUUUAACCUAUUACCCAAACUUGUGGCCACAGAAGAAAAAAGCAUGUCUAGCUUAGCCUAGUUUUGGGCUGCCUCUUUUUAUUAGUUCUUUCUUGAUCUUAGGUGGUUCAUUGCUCUCCAGUGACGACUGUCCAGGAUGGAGGCAAACUUGUGAGUCUGAGAGGUUCGGAGGUCCUGGGUUCAUUUCAUGGGAGUAGACUA